rnacentral:rRNA from 1 species
UCCGCAAUGGGCGAAAGCCUGACGGAGCGACGCCGCGUGGAGGACGAAGGCCUUCGGGUUGUAAACUCCUGUCACGGAUUAAGAAUGGCUUGGUGUUAACAGCAUCAAGUUUGACGUAAGUCCGAGAGGAAGCACUGGCUAACUCUGUGCCAGCAGCCGCGGUAAUACAGAGAGUGCAAACGUUGUUCGGAAUUACUGGGCUUAAAGCGCACGUAGGCGGCUCCGCAAGUGUCGGGUGAAAUCCCACGGCUUACCCGUGGAACUGCCCGGCAGACUGCGGAGCUAGAGGAUGGUAGGGGAGAGCGGAACUCCUGGUGGAGCGGUGAAAUGCGUAGAUAUCAGGAGGAACACCGGUGGCGAAGGCGGCUCUCUGGUCCAUAACUGACGCUGAGGUGCGAAAGCUAGGGGGGCAAACGGGAUUAGAUGCCCCGGUAGUCCUAGCUGUAAACGAUGGGCACUAACUUGGGGUCUCCCUGUGUGAUCCCAGGUGUAGCAAAAGUGAUAAGUGCCCCGCCUGGGGAGUAUGGUCGCAAGGCUGAAACUCAAAGGA